AUUGAACGCUGGCGGCAUGCUUUACACAUGCAAGUCGAACGGUAACAGGCCUUCGGGUGCUGACGAGUGGCGCACGGGUGCGUAAUGCAUCGGAACGUACCCAGAGGUGGGGGAUAACGCAGCGAAAGCUGUGCUAAUACCGCAUGUGAUCUGAGGAUGAAAGCGGGGGACCGAGCAGCAAUGUUUGGCCUCGCGCCUUUGGAGCGGCCGAUGUCGGAUUAGCUAGUUGGUGGGGUAAAGGCCUACCAAGGCGACGAUCCGUAGCUGGUCUGAGAGGACGAACAGCCACACUGGGACUUAGACACGGCCCAGACUCCUACGGGAGGCAGCAGUGGGGAAUUUUGGACAAUGGGGGGAAGGCUGAUCCAGCAAAGGCGGGUGGGGGAAGAAGGCCUUCGGGUUGUAAACCGCUUUUGGCAGGAACGAAACGGUGUCCGCUAAUACCGGGCGCUAAUGACGGUACCUGCAGAAUAAGCACCGGCUAACUACGUG
rnacentral:rRNA from 1 species